UUUUGAUUUUGGGGAAAGGUGGCGUGGAAUGUAGAGUGGCAUGUAGAUGUUACUUUGGGGAUAUGAGCGCAGAUAAUCAUUGCCGCCAAAUACCGCGGGAGCGUUGCUGAGAACUGAGAAUAUGCUGUACCGACUAAUAUGGUGUGACUGGAUUAUUGCCU